rnacentral:rRNA from 1 species
AUUAUUGGUAUCACCUGCUCAAUGAAUUUUAAAUAGCCGCAGAAUUUUUACUGUGCUAAGGUAGCAUAAUCAUUAGCCUUUUAAUUGAAGGCUUGUAUGAAAGGUAUAACAAUUUAAUUUCUUUUUUAUUUAAUAUUUUUCUAAAUUUUAUUAAAUAUAAAAAUAUAUUUAUAAUAAUAUAAGACGACAAGACCCUAUUGAACUUUACUGAAGUUUAGCUGGGGCAGCUAAUUAAUUAAAAUUUUAAUUAUAUAAUAUUAUAUAAAUAGACCCAAUACUAUUGAAUAUUUGAAUUAAGUUACCAUAGGGAUAACAGCGUAAUUUAUUUUUAAAGUUCGUAUUAAAAAAAAAAGAUUGCGACCUCGAUGUUGAAUUAUUGUCUCAAUUAUAUGUAACAAUAUAGAUUUGUAGGUCUGUUCGACCUUUAAAACAAUACGUGAUC